AUGAGAACUGGGGUCUGGUUGCUAGGUGGCGUGAGGAGGAGUCCGGGAGGAGGGCCUGCAGCACGCAGGGCACCCAGGUGUUUCCGUUCCAGGACCUCCCGCAGGCACUUUGCUCUCUCGAGGUUCUGCCGGAUCCGGCUUCGUCUGGGAACACCGGCGAAGGUAGCGGUGCCUUGGGCAGGAUUCUGCCCGUCUCUGAGCCUCCCUUCCACCUUGCUGCAUUCCAGCCUGGCCUCUGCCUGCUCCUCCAUCAGGUCCCCGCUUACAACCGCCAGCAACCCCUCCUUCACCAGGCCCACCUUUGGCCCUCAGGGCGCUGGCUGUUGGGCUGGUUUUUCGAGAAAGCAAUACGGUGACGCUAUUCUUCAAAGGAAAGACUCCAAGAGUAGGAGUGAUAUCUCCUGGGACAAAUUCGAGACACCUCACAGCUGCUGGCAGCAACGACUGGACCCAAAAAUGUGGGCAAAUUCUUCACCAUCUGAGCCACCAGAGAACCCCAGUGGCGACAUGGUGCUCUCUUCUGUUUCCAUCUUGAAGGAGAAACAAGAGUUUCCUCUACGCCAUGCUGCAAAAGGAAGGGGCGUGAACAGGUGCCCCAAAUGUUGCUACUUUCAGCUGGAGGCAGCAGAACUCUGA
rnacentral:lncRNA from 1 species